GAUGAACGCUGGCGGCGUGCCUAAUACAUGCAAGUCGAGCGAACAGACGAGGAGCUUGCUCCUCUGACGUUAGCGGCGGACGGGUGAGUAACACGUGGAUAACCUACCUAUAAGACUGGGAUAACUUCGGGAAACCGGAGCUAAUACCGGAUAAUAUAUUGAACCGCAUGGUUCAAUAGUGAAAGACGGUUUUGCUGUCACUUAUAGAUGGAUCCGCGCCGCAUUAGCUAGUUGGUAAGGUAACGGCUUACCAAGGCAACGAUGCGUAGCCGACCUGAGAGGGUGAUCGGCCACACUGGAGCGGAGACACGGUCCAUACUCCUACGGGAGGCAGCAGUAGGGAAUCUGCCGCAAUGGGCGAAAGCCUGACGGAGCAACGCCGCGUGAGUGAUGAAGGUCUUCGGAUCGUAAAACUCUGUUAUUAGGGAAGAACAAAUGUGUAAGUAACUAUGCACGUCUUGACGGUACCUAAUCAGAAAGCCACGGCUAACUACGUG
rnacentral:rRNA from 1 species